AUCAGCAGCAGGAUUUCGCUCUCAUGAGCUGCUGAAAACAUCAGUGAUGGGUUUGUUUGUAUUUGCCUAAUUAGGCAACGAGCUGAGACGCUCUCGCAAGGACUGGCAGCAUCUUUGGAAAACACAGGCCCAGAAGCAUAGAUUCUGAGCAAGUUCUAGCUCCUUCCACAGUAUCAUUACUCUCUCUUGCUGCCCUCAGGGGAAGCAAGAUGUUGGGGAAUCUGGGUUCUCCAGUCAAAGUGCCUGGGCUCAAAUGCCAACUCUAUUACUUCCUAGCUCUGUUGUCUUGGGCGAAGAGGAUGGACCGCGAAGACAUCUGUAUGAGCUUAAGGACUGACAUCCACAAUCGUUCACAGAAGACAGGGCCUGUGGCAUUGAGCAGGGAGGUCAGAUGCCAGCCACAGGAGCCUACUAGGACAUCUCUGCUCGACACCAGCCUGGGCAGGGGGCUCAACAGGGCUUGUACUUUAAAUGCUUCUUUUCUUUUCUUCCCAUCACAUGCUAACCCCUAAAACCAAGCAGUUUGGUUGUGAGUUUUCAGUUUAUUUGGCUCCCUCUGAUCGAUGGGAGCUAGGAAAAGCCAGGCUGUGAUGUAAGUGGGGAAUACGUUUUGGACCCAGAUACGGGGACACUUUACCUUUGGAAAUGUGACUUUACAGGAGUCGUGUCUGGCUUUAGAAUAGACCCUCCGGAGCAAAAGUGUAUUAGGUUCAGGACCAACCACCGGAAUUGAGGGUUUACUUGUAAUUCCUCACCAGGAGUCAGAGGGCCCUUGAAGUCCCAUGGAUCCCGGGCCCAGGGCUUGCCUGAUCUGACUCUGCCCAGGGGAUAUUCCACGAGAGCUGGAGAUUUGAUCUCCAAGUACCAACGAAGAUGGGGUUCUCCCCAGGGGGGUGGGUGGGUCAUGCGAGAAGGGGUUCCAGGCCUUCCCAGGGAGCUCUUGGGGGUACUCACUUGAGAGGUCCCUGCCCACACCCAGAGCCAAGCCAUCUUUGAUCCACAGAACGAAGCCAUCAUACUCGGGGAUGGCGCACAGCAGUGUCACUGGCUGGCCCGACACCACGGCCUGGUCCUGGGGCUGCUGGCUGAAGGAGUAUACUUGGCCUAGGAAGGAGACAAGCACAGGGGUCAGUUAGUGCAGGGAGCAGUGCCUGGACGGCUUCUCCUCAAGUUAAGAAACAGAACAGUUGGCCCAGGGGAUAAGCAGCUCUCUCUCCCUCGCCAGCAUCUGACUUCCUGCCUGCAGCCCAGCGGCACUUCCUGUCUGCCCCCUGCUUAAUUCCCUGCUCUCAGCAGCUGGCUCUCGGCUCAGCCUCCCUGCUCAUCCAUCCCUAACACACAUUCACACUGUGAGGCGGCCUCCCCCAGCCCCCAAAGAGGCCGUGCCCGCCGUGCUUGGGACGAUCUCUGCCACUUUCCAUUUGGCUCCUACCUACCGCCACAUGCUUGCGCCACAACAGGGCAGAGGGGGAGAGAGCCUUCCAGCUGCGAGCAUCCUUGGGAGGUGCCUCAAGAAGGCAAGGUCGGUGGGGAGUGGUGUGGUUUGCUUAAAAACCCGAGAACCUGGGAAAAAUAUUACUGUUUAAUUUGGGCCUAUGGCCAAAUUCCACAGGACACGUGGUGGUAUAGUGUGGUCCAGAGUGUGCUGGCAGGAGCUGGAAGUCACCUCGACUCACCCUCUUUGUCCCUUUCUUUCUGAUGGCACACCCAAUUCUGGCCUCACUGUCCCCUGGGGGAACAUCGCCAGGGUGACCCCCAGCUCUCCCCUAGACACCUCAGAGCAAGAAGGCACUGAGCCAUCUCAGCAGAUGAAGACUUUCUGGCUCUGAAGACCGUGUUUUCACCUGCUGAGCUGUGCUGUGCUCAGAUCCCUAAGCUGGUCCUGCGGGGAAUGCUGAGGAAGCAGGGUGAUGUGAUCCCUCUUCCCCGGGAGGCCACAGACGAACGGACGACAGGACACCGACGUUUCCUGAGCCCCCGACCCACAGUGGCCUCCAUUCUGUUACCUGCAUGGUUACAUUGCAGGGCAGAAAUAUCCCAAUUUUACGGCAAAGUAAACAGGAUCAGAGAGGCAAAGUAAGCUGCCCAAGAUCACACAGCUAAUGAGCAGUGGAGCUGGGGUUCGAUGGGGGUCCGUGUGGCUUCCAAGCCCACAUUCGUUCCCAUGCCCUGCCUGGCAGAUACAGAUACACGCUGAGGGAAGGUGGACCUGGUGGGCAGGUUGUUGCCACGGCCUCUUCUCCCCGACGUGGGAGAGUCAGGGACAGACACGGAGGUCCUGGACGCUAGCUGUUGCCCAUCCUGGGGACACAAUACCCCAGGCUUGGACCACGGGUAAGGCCAUGCUCUUAGCAGCAGACAGCCCCAGUAAGGGGGUGACUGACGUAUACAGAACCUGAGGGAAGCUGGGCAUGGUGGCCAAGUGGGUGCGGGGGCUCCCCGAGAGGAGCCGCGGAAUCCACAUCAGAGAACUCAUGGCAGGGGGGAAGGUAGCUGCGUUUACAACCUGAUGAGAUCUUGGCUGGGUCUCUGAGGAGUCUCAUUAAAAAUCAAAUUGGCCCUGAAUUGUGGGAGUAACACUUUUUAUUCUGAUUUGAGCUUUACAAAUUAGAUUUCAUAGGACAUUUUAA